CCUCUCCGUGAUGAGGAGUUCACCUCAUUCAUUCUCAAUGGCCUUGACGAGGAUUAUGAUUCUCUGGUGGAAAAUAUUAAUGGACGUGACACAGUAAUGCCACCCUGUGAUCUCUACGCGCGGCUCCUGAACACAGAAC
rnacentral:snoRNA from 1 species